CCUGAGAAACCCAAAAGAUCGAAUGGGGAGAUUCAUCGUCAGCGUUACUGGUACGUGUGCGGUUCGCGAUGCCCGGGACUUCGGUUCCGUGGUACGCGUCCGCAGUUUUUAUUGCCUGGUAACGUCGGCGUGCACUUCUCCCCUAGUAGGACGUCGCGACCCGUUGGGUGUCGGUCUACGGCCCGGGUGGUUGCCUGUCUCGUGUGGCGCUUCACAGCGUAACUGCGGGGCAGACCCCCGGUUGCCUGACCAGCUGCCCGGCGGUAUUCGCAAGGUAUCCGGCCGCAAAAAUUCGAACUGCGUCCGGCCCGUCGCAAGCGAGGCAAGUGUUUCCCGAAUGUACGGAUCUAAUGCCGUCGUCGGGCCUGGCCAGCUGUUGGUUGACGGUGUCCUAGGACUGGCUGUAACUCAAUUAUGAUACCGGUCAGCGACGCUA
rnacentral:rRNA from 1 species